CCCUGUCCCUUCUUCUCCAGCCGGGCAGCCCCCUGGGGCUGCCGCCGCUACAACCGCUGCCGACAGCCCGGUGGCCCCGAUGAGCCACCCCGCCCUUCCACCGGGCUUUUUCUUGUGCGUGGAGUGGCCGGUGGAGACUUUUCCGUGCUGUGUGUCACAGCUACUUGAUGUGCUGAUUUUUUUCCUACCCUAUUUUCUCAUUAACUCACAAGAAGGUUGUGGCAAGAACACCCGUUUCCGGAAACGCUUGAACAUCCCUAGAAUUGGCUUGGAGCCAAAAGAGCACUGUCUCUUCAAACACGUUUUGCAUUCUUCACACUACAGCACUAAAGAAAAUCGGUGUUUCCACUUCCACGGCCAUUGCACAUCCUGUGGUGGGUCAGAGUCCAGAAGCACCGAGCCUUCAUAAGCUCUGUCCUCUGCCUCGGAGGGUGACGCUCCCUCCAGAAACGCCCCCGCCUCUCAGAGGAGGGACAGACAGCUGCUGCUGUCCCGGGGCUGCAGGCUGGGCUCUCAAACGAGCCGAGUUCCCAGGUCACUCCCAACAACUCGGCUUUCGGCUCCUGGAGUGAAAUGCAACCUUUGCAAGCACCUGAUGCCGCUGCCCUGCCGGGCUGGGCACAGGAGCCCUUCGCCGUGACCAGGGCAGGGAGAUGCAACGCUGGGCUUGACUCGCUGCGGAGCUGCAGGGCUGCUGUGCCAUCCGGCAGCAGAGGGGGAUGAAGUGCCAGCUGGGGCAGUGACAGGGACUGUGCCAGUCAGCGCAGGCAGGUGACAGGAGCAACCGCGAAGCCACUAAUGAAAUGCAAAGAGUACAGCAGGGGAAAGAGCACUGGAUCAGCACCCGGUGGAUUGUCCCUUCGUUUUCUGUUGACUAUCAGUGUUCUUUAUUGAAUUAUUGAUUUCUUUUUACUGAUGUAUGGUUGGUCAUAUGCAUACGUUUGGGGAUUUUUUGGAUAUUCGUUUUCCUUUCUUCACUGUUUUUGCCAGUGCCUAACCAGACUCUCUUGAAUGGAGCUUGGGACUUGAUACAAGGCUUCGUGCAAAUUUGGAAGCAGAGGGACCAGGGGAUGUGUCUCCAGCAAUACUACAGCGUGUUUCAAAAACACGGUCCCAAUUUCACACGCAGAGUGAUUUCCAAUUGGGUCCAUCUUUCCGAAACAUCCUGUGCUUGGGGAGAGUUGUGGAAACCAACUUGAGAUGGGUCCUAUGUUACCUCUGUUCCUGCUCCUCGUCCCAUAGUGCCGUGGCGGGAUUCCUCCUCUGAGGGUGGUUCUUUUGAAGUAAAUAAAACGUCUGUUGGAAGGAAUUGUGGGAAUUCAAAGACAUGGUUCUUACACCUUUGGACAAAUGUUUGCGUUAAAAACGGAGGCAAAUUUUCUCUCCUUCUCCCUAUAUAUGUGUAUGCAGACUGUAUAGUUUAUAAAGACAUGUAAAAAUAGAAAAUUAAAUCGAUCAAUGUGUGCACACGGAAGCCCACAGGAGACCACCGGAGAUUGCUGGAGAUUGCAGGAGACCGUCCGGAGACCGAAGGACACCGCUAGAAACCACAGGACACCAUUGGCUCUGUGUCUUGGUUUAAAAAGGAAGAAGGUUUUCACAUUUCAGCAAACAAUUAAGACUUUGGUUUUCUCUCUCCUUCUCCCUAUAUGUGUGUCUAUGGACAAUAUAGUUUAGAAAAAUAUGUACAUAUAGACAAUAACAGCUAUAAAUGCAGGCACAGAGAAGCCCGCUGGAGACCGUGGGAGACCGAAGAAGGCCGCUGGAAACCACAGGACGCCACUGGAGAACGUCGGAGACCAAAGGACACCGUGGGACCUGCACCUUGCCUGAAAAAAGGAAAAGUUUCUUAACAUUUUACAAAUACUUCAGCCUUUUCCUUUCUCUCUCCCUCUGUAAAUACUAGAAAUGCAGUACGGGAGGAAGGGAGAAAAAGUCGUCUUUUGAACUUACAAUCAUUAUGAUGCGAUCUGCUACAAUAAUCGAUUUUGGCAUUAAAAGUAACACGCUCCUAGUAAAACAUGCUCCUCUAGUAAAAAACCACCAAAGAUUUGUAUCAGUUCUAGUGUAACAUUGUAUCUGCUGAGACUGUGGCUUCCCUAGAUGUCAGCUGGGGAAUAGAGAGGCUGCAGGAAAGUUCGUUGACAGAAAGUGGGAAACGUGGAUUUUUUUUCCCAGUUAACUUUUUCUUUCCCCUUUCCUCUUCUUCCCACCCCUGUUUAGGCUCACGACCUUCCAAAAGCUGUUGCGGCAGAUCACACACAGGUCCCUGCCGUUUGCUCGAACUCUGUAACACCAUCAGGCAGAUACGUUCUUGGGAUAUUGUCUUGCGUGCUGCUGGGCCAAGAAGUGACACGAACGCCGUGUAAACACGGGCAGUGAUGGCUCCUGGUCAGCAGUCACAGGCUGGCCUCAGUAAUUGCUGUGAGACUAAUCCCACACAGGAGCAACAGUAUAUGCUUCUGCCUUGUCAGCUUCAUGAACAGGGCAAGUGGAGGGGAAAAAUGCUCUUCUGUUAACUUCAAGUCAUCACCUAUGCUAUCUGCAGCAAUAAUCGAUUUGUUGAAAAAACUGGGAAACUUUGAUUUUUUUUUCCCCCAUUAACCCUUUUCCCCCCCUUCCGCUUUUUCCCAUCCCUGUUUAGGCUCACAACCUUGCAAAGGCUAUUGCAGCAGCUCACACAUUUCUUCUGAAGCAUCCAGAUGCUGAAAUGAGGCAGAGAAGUGUGGCCUACUGUCAGAGCAGACCUGAGGCUGAGCAGCAAAUGAGAGACUUGGAGACAGAAGCUGACGAGGUUUGGGCAGGAAUUCGUAACGGGGCUGUAGGAAGAAGUACUGGAAGUAAGGCUGGACUGGCAACAAAUCCACACUGUGUUUUGGCAAAAGAGGGACACGGUUAGGUUGAUUACUCCCCUGUCUUGUAGAUGACAGGGACUGAUUUGGGGCCAGCACCCCAAAGGCUUCCUCCCAAAGGUGCUGGGCGGAGUUGGGGUGGGCGGGACUGCACACGCGUGGCUCUGUCACCCCCGUGUCACAAUGCCAGCACCCGGCAAUGCAGCGCUCACAAUGCCCCGAGCAGGACCAAAAGGAGCAGCCGGGUCCCGUGUCCACUGCCAGAGCUGGCCCGGGGGCAGCCGCAACACAUCCCGGAGGAAGCACUUGAGGAGCUGGUGGAAUCACAGGGCAGGGGCUGAGGGAGGAAGAGCUUGCAUGAGGCUGCUGGAGGUUCUCCACUGCAAGGUGAUCUGCGGGCAGGGCCACCUUCCAAGCUCAGCUCACGGAUGGAAAUCCUUUUGAGCUGGAUAGCAGUGGAGAGACCAAGGGCAUUUCUUCUGUGCUUGCAACACCCACUGGUGUCCCACCAGGCACAGGAAGGAGUCUUGCCCCCAAGGACCAUCAGCUCAGAGGCAUUUGGGCACUCUCGGAAGUCCGGGAGAUGGCUCCGGCUCGAGGUAGGACAGGGUAGGAUAGGCUAGGGCUUGGGCAGGUCCUGGGGGGCGUGAGCAGCCUGUGCAUGGGACGAGGAGCCAGGUCUGGCUCACAUGCUCAGGGAACAGCCGAUCGCCAGCACUGGGGUCAGGAAGGAAUUUUUUCCCCCGGGGCAGAUUGGCACUGGUCCCCGGGGGUUUUUUGCCUUCCUCUGCAGCACUGAGCACGACCACUUUGCAGAGCUCCUCUGGGCCCUUUUGGCUCGGUUCCUGCCCGCUGCUCAAGCACCAGGAAGAUGGCCUCUCGUGCCCCGCAGCUGGGGGGAGGAAGGCUUUUUUGCCUUCCUCUGCAGCGCUGAGCACGGCCCCUUCCCACGGCUUCUUUGGGCCAUUUGGGCUGGGCGCCUGCUGCUCCACCAGUUGGCCCUAAACUUAGCUAGAACAGCCUACCUAAACCAGCACAGAACAACUCACCUAAACCAACCUUAAACAACCUAAACCAGUCUGCCUUCAAAAACUUCAAUCAGCCACCUACAACCUAAGCAGAACCUUAAACAAUCUACGACAAAUUACCUAAACCAACCUAAACCAAACAAAAGAAACCAACCUAAACACCCUAAAACAAACCUACCCAAACCAAAUGAUCUAAAAAAUCCUACCUAAAACAAUCUAAAACUACAUAAACCGGCAUUUCUCAGCCAACCUCAAGCAACCUGUAACCAAACAAGCUAAACAAACCCAAACCAACCAAUCUUAACCUAAAACAACCAUUAAACAAUCUCAAACAACUUCAAAACAAUCUGAUAAAGGAUAAAACUACCUAAAGCAACCCAUCUAAACCAACCUCAAAAACAGGAAAUCGAAUGACACAACCUGACCAAAAUGACCUCAAGCAAACAACCCAAAGCUAAAUAGAACCACUGAAACCAGCCUACAAUCGCCAAGCUAAAAACCAAUCUAAAUCAACUAAACUUCAACAACGAAGCUAAAACCCCCUAAAAAACCUCAACAACCAAACUCCAACCACCAGCCACCCUACCCCAUGCAGUGUCUCACUUGGAUGUGUCUGCAGUCUUGGAAGCUUGACUACCCCAGGUUCUCCUACAAAUGGACCCUGAGCUUGUUUGGAGGUUCUCAAGCACAGCGCAGCUACCGUAUCCCCUUGACCUAGCAAUGGUUCGCCUCUAGCGGGGAAGGUCGUCCUCUUUGAGCAAGGCAGGGAAACACGUGGAGCAGGGAAGGAGGACGGGGACAUCUGCUGAGACAGCACAAACAGCCCCAUCGAGCCUGGUGAUUAGUGGGGGGACGCAUGUCCCAGCGAGAUUGCAGUCACAUCCAAAUCAUCCAGACACAACCUAAAACCAACAAAACACCAUGUAAAUCUAACCAAAGCACCUAAAGCACCCUCAACAACCAAUCUAAACCACCCCAACCUGAAGGAACCCAUCUUCAAACAUGCAACGUAAAAAACACUGCCUAAAACAACCUACCAAAAAGGAACUAAACCAACCUAAACCAAACAACCUGAACCAACCUCAACAGAAACCCUUCAGGCAACCUAAACAAUGUAAACCAAACCUGCCGAAACCAACCUACCUGAAAACACAGACACCCACCAACCCACCUAAACCGCCUACUGAAAACAAACAACCUAAAAUAACCAACCAACUUAAAAUCAUCUAAACAAACCUAAACCAAACUACUGAAAACGGCCUCAACGAAAACAGCUUCAGAUACGCCACCUACAACAACCAACGGAAGACACCUUCAACCAAAAAUCACCUACAUCAAGCAACCUGAACCCACCAGCCUUCGACAACCAGCCUCUCACAACCACCCUCAAAGAACCUGCCUCAAACCAACCUCAAACGACCGCAACAAACUGAACCAAGCUCGUAAAACCAGAAACCUCAACCAAACUAACGCAACCAGUGCUAAAGAAGCGUCAGAAAACAGCACCAACCAAAGAACCCAGCCAAACCAAGAAAAGUAAACCUCCAAAGCUAAACAACAUAGAUCAGCGGUAAGAAAAUCACAUCACACAGCCUAAACCAACCCACCUAAACUAACCAACCGAAACCAAGCUAAACCAUCAAACCUGAAACAAGCAAUCUGAGACCCCCUACCUCAACCAAACUUAAAAACGUAUAAACUGACCUAAACCAACCAAAUGAAACCAACUUAGAAAAACCCAACAAAA